GGGCAGUAUCCACAAAUUAUCUUAAAGAUGGGGGAAAUGUGUAGCUAGUGAUGGACAUUACUUUGAAUAAAGUACUUUUGAUGUUUCCUUUGAAAUGAUUGUGUUUUCUUUGAUUACAAAAUGUGCUUUAUUCACCAGUACACCUGGUAAAUAUGUGAAAACUAAAUA